AGCAAGUGUUUAGUGUAGUGCUUUUGGGACUGCUCUGCAGCAAUGUGGUUGCUGCACCAGCAGAAUCGCAAUGUGCAGUACAGCGAAAUGAUAAGGUCAAGGUCGAAGCAACAGGAGCAGUGCAAUCUGGACGCAUAGUGAAUGGUAUUGGAGCGAAGAAGAUCGAAAGGUAUCAAUUCGCUAUUAGUCUGCGCUAUGACGGUCAGUUUUACUGCGCCGCUAGUAUUAUCACUCCUACUCACGGAAUUACAUCGGCCAGCAAAAUGUUUCCGUUGCUUGGUUUCUUGUCAAAUGUAACGGUCAUCGGAGGUAGUACAUCUGCACUAUCGGGGGCAUAGAACUCCCUUUGAUUGAUGUAUUCUCUCAUCCUAGCUAUAAAGCAUCCGUUGAUAGCUUAGAUUUUGAUGUUGCGGUUUUUACUGUGCCAACGAAUGCAUUCCAAGGCAAAACUAAUAUGGCACCGAUAGCACUUCAAACAUCUGAAUUACCAGCCGGAACUCGUUGCUAUGUAGUUGGAUGGGGUAGAACGACUUUUAUGGAUCCAUCAGUUGGAAACGAAUUGCGUUACGCAACCAUGAAUAUAGUGUCACAGAGGGCCUGCAUUAGAUCGUGGGCUGAUUGGAUGAUUAUUUCUACAAACCUGAUGUGUACGAAAUAUUGCUUUGGCGUGGAUACUUGCUGGGGUGAUGAAGGUAGUGCGUUGGUGUGCGAUGGAAAACUUACCGGAAUAGCUGCAUUUACCAAUUUCAACUGUGACGGUGUUAUGCCAGCAGUAUUUAGUAGGAUUGUAGACCCUAGCAUUCGCAGCUUUAUUCGUAAUCAAACUGGUAUCUGAUUGGAGGUGUUCUUCAAGUGGCACGGGAAAUUAAGUGACUUGGGGCAAAUGUGAUUGCACCUGCCAUGCUGUCACUGUUGCCAUUAUUACUGCAAAAUUGUUAAACACGUUCUCAGGCUCAUCGCAAUCGAAAUAAAUCAAUGUUCUUUGAACGCUCUA